rnacentral:rRNA from 1 species
CCUACGGGUGACAGCAGUGAGGAAUAUUGGUCAAUGGGAGAGAUCCUGAACCAGCCAAGCCGCGUGAGGGAAGACGGCCCUAUGGGUUGUAAACCUCUUUUGUCGGAGAACAAAACCCGGGACGUGUCCCGGACUGCGUGUAUCCGACGAAAAAGCAUCGGCUAACUCCGUGCCAGCAUCCGCGGUAAUACGGAGGAUGCGAGCGUUAUCCGGAUGUAUGGGGGUAAAAGGGUGCGUAGGCGGUCCGUUAAGUCAGCGGUAAAAUUGCGGGGCUAAACCCCGUCGAGCCGUUGAAACUGGCAGACUUGAGUAGGCGAGAAGUACGCGGAAUGCGCGGUGUAGCGGUGAAAUGCAUAGAUA